GACGAACGCUGGCGGCAUGCCUAAUACAUGCAAGUCGAGCGAACAGAUGAAGUGCUUGCACUUCUGACGCUAGCGGCGAACGGGUGAGUAACACGUAAGGAAUCUACCUAUAAGCGGGGGAUAACAUUCGGAAACGGGUGCUAAUACCGCAUAAUAUCUUCUUCCGCAUGGAAGAAGACUGAAAGACGGCUCUGCUGUCACUUAUAGAUGACCUUGCGGUGCAUUAGUUAGUUGGUGGGGUAAUGGCCUACCAAGACGAUGAUGCAUAGCCGACCUGAGAGGGUGAUCGGCCACAUUGGGACUGAGACACGGCCCAAACUCCUACGGGAGGCAGCAGUAGGGAAUCUUCCGCAAUGGGCGAAAGCCUGACGGAGCAAUGCCGCGUGAGUGAAGAAGGCCUUCGGGUCGUAAAACUCUGUUAUAAGAGAAGAACAAAUUGUAGAGUAACUGCUACAGUCUUGACGGUAUCUUAUCAGAAAGCCACGGCUAACUACGUGCCAGCCGCCGCAGUAA
rnacentral:rRNA from 1 species